rnacentral:lncRNA from 9 species
AUCCGCCGGAAGUGCGUCCGUCCGGGCGAGGAAGGAAAUAGGGCGCGGGGCGCCGCCGUGGAAGAACUCCAUUCAGAGGCAGUCGUGAUAAACCAGAGCAUCAGCCCUUUCCGCUGGGAUACCAAUAAGUCUUGAACUUCAAAACUGCUGACCUAAAAAGGAUACUUGAGAAGGAGCAAGUCUUUCCUUUUUUCUUUUAAAGAAAGCAACACCAGAAGCAGUCGAACUUCCUUGUUCACUUAGGUGCAUGCAAAAAAGAAAAGUUUACUCUGCUUCAGGACCCUCUCUUACCCCUCAUGGCGUGAGCCUGAAGCCUGUCCACUGAGGAGCGUUCUAAGAACUUCCAGAUCAUUCCAUGGAACUACAGCAGAAAGGACCCGAGAAGGAAGUAUCGCCGGCGGGACAUCUUUGAGAGGCGACUUCCAGACAUCUUCUGGAACACUCUGAAGCAAGAGCGCCAGCAGCCUUUCAGAAGACCCCAUUCCAUCCCUGCGCCCUCGAUUUCAGCAUUUCUUCAACUGUAUGGAACACACAGACAUACUCUUGGAGGCCUCAGAGUUCUAAAAACGAUCUGCAAAUUUUUGUCUUUUCCUUGGGAUCGCCAUCCAAAAGGAAGUGAUACGUGCGCCUCCUCCGGUGACGCGUUUCUUUUUUAAUUAGUACACUUUAUGUGGACGAGUGGUUUGAGGUUUACAGAGAAACUGAGUGAAAAGUGUAAACUCACCUUCCAGCCCUGACUCCUCCACCUCCAGUUCCCACGAUUAACAGCUUCCGUCCGGGUGGCGUAUUCGUCACAGUUGAGGAGCCCAUAGUAAUACAUUCUUAUUCAUUAAAGCCCAUACUUGGCACUAGGGUUCAUUCUCUGCGUUAUACAUCCUAGGAGUUUUGACAAAUGCAAUGACUCCUUUUUGUCCGAGGACCACCAGAGAGAUUUUCAGUCUUACCUUGCUUUUGUGUUUCGAGACCGGUUCCGCUUUAAUUGUCCCGGAUGAGUAAGACAGGAACAGAGUUGGACUUAAUAGGCAACACGUGAUGUCAGUUUUAGUGAUGGAAACUCACACGCCUCAGACAUGAAGGUUUGUCUGUGGUUCAGAAGAAGAAACGGUUUGCUUGGAGUUACCCCAAGACGUGCUGUGGUCCGCCCUCCCCAAGGCAGACGCCGUCAUCGCUGCCGUGUUCACAUCCUGAAAGGUGAUGUUUGUUUCAGCAAAUAGUAUUUCUCACAUUAAUAUAAGGCUAUUGCAAUAUCGCUGACUUUGUAGUUUGCAUUUGCCUUUGCAUUUGGAGGCGUAGUUUAAUUUGUAAGUUUGCACCACUGUGAGUAUAGGGACUUUAUACCUAGUCAUAUGCCCAUAAUUAAGAAAUGCUUUAGAGAAAAUAUUUGUACAUGAUAUGACUGAUAGGAGGGGACUAUCCAAAAUAUGUAACAGCUCAUACAACUCAGUAUCAAAAAAAAAAAACAAACAAAACACAAUUAAACGUGGGCAGAAGACCUUGAUAGAUGUUUUUCUAGAGAAGACAGGCAGAAGGCCAACAGCCACAUGAAAAAAUGGUCACUAUAAUUACACCAGAGAAAUGUGAGUCAAAGUCGCCAUGAGAACACCUCACAGCUGUCAGAAUGGCUACCAUCAAAAAGACCACACAUAACAAACGUUGGCAAGGAUGUGGCGAAAAGAAACACUUACACACUGCUGGUGGGCGUGUAAACUAGUGCAGUCACUGUGGACGUCAAUGUGGGGGUUCCUCCAAAACUAAAAGUAGAACUACCACAUGAUUCCGCAAUUCCACUCCUGAGUGUGUGUCCCAAGACACUGAAAGCACUCAUUUGAAAAGAUGUGUGCACCCUGGUGUUUGCAGCAGCAUUAUUUAUGGCAGCCAAGAGGCGGAAGCAAGCCAAGUGCCCAUCCAUGGAUGAAUGAAGAAAAUGUGGUGUAUAUGUAGAUAUUCGUGUGUGUGCGUGUGCGUGUGCGUGCCAUACAAAGAAGGAGAUUCUGCCAUUUGGAGCAAUGUCAAUGGACCUCGAGAAUAUUAUGCUCAGUGAAAUAAGACAGACAGAGAAAGAUAGAUACCGUAUGAUAAAAAUUCUACGUGGAAUCUAAUAAAUAAAACAAACGAAUGUAU